UACGUAGGGGGCAAGCGUUGUCCGGAAUCAUUGGGCGUAAAGAGCGUGUAGGCGGUCCGGUAAGUCGGUUGUGAAAGUCGGGGGCUCAACCCUCGGAGGCCGACCGAUACUGUCGGGCUAGAGUCCGGAAGAGGCGAGUGGAAUUCCUGGUGUAGCGGUGAAAUGCGUAGAUAUCAAGAGGAACACCUGAGGUGAAGACGGGUUGCUAGGCUGACACUGACGCUGAGGCGCGAAAGCCAGGGGAGCAAACGGG
rnacentral:rRNA from 1 species